rnacentral:rRNA from 1 species
ACGAACGCUGGCGGCGUGCUUAACACAUGCAAGUCGAACGGAAAGGCCCUGCUUGCAGGGUGCUCGAGUGGCGAACGGGUGAGUAACACGUGGGUGAUCUGCCCCUUACUUUGGGAUAAGCCUGGGAAACUGGGUCUAAUACUGGAUAGGACCAUGCUGUAGGUGGUGUGGUGGAAAGAUUAGUUUCGGUAAGGGAUGAGCUCGCGGCCUAUCAGCUUGUUGGUGGGGUAAUGGCCUACCAAGGCGUCGACGGGUAGCCGGCCUGAGAGGGAGGACGGCCACAUUGGGACUGAGAUACGGCCCAGACUCCUACGGGAGGCAGCAGUGGGGAAUAUUGCACAAUGGGCGCAAGCCUGAUGCAGCGACGCCGCGUGGGGGAUGACGGCCUUCGGGUUGUAAACUCCUUUCAGCCAUGACGAAGCCCUUGUGGUGACGGUAGUGGUAGAAGAAGCACCGGCUAACUACGUG